GCUCCCGUCGUCUAGUCCGGCCAAGGAUGGCGGCCUUUCGCGCGGAAACACGGGUUCGAAUCCCGUCGGGAGCA
rnacentral:tRNA from 7 species